UUCCGCAAAAUGUGCGAGACCCUGUGGAUCCAUAAAACGCAGACAACACUGUACAGACCAACAUGGAAUGGCCAAGUUGAGCAUUACAAAAGCACGCUUAUGGACACGGUACGCUGUUACAUUGAUGGCUGUCCUAUCUAAGAGCUGUGAUCAGUACUUGGGUCCAUUAGCAGGUGCUUUGAGGUCUGCUAUCAACAGGCACACUGGGUACACAGCAAACAAAUUGAAUAUGUUAGGUAGAGAAGUCAAUGUGCCCGUAACUAUUCUAUAUCGACUCCCAGAUUCCAAUGAUUUUCAAAAUGGGGAGGAAGGAGAAGUAAAUAAAUAUUUGUAUGUGGGUAUAUCCCUCUAACUAUUUUAAGAAUCGGUAGGACAACAAAGUAGUGCCUUUAAGCAAAAUAGUUCCUAUACUUGCAGAGUGUAUAUACAUUUAUUGGGACAUUUUAAAUCGGAAUGCUCGACACGUCAGAAAAGAGGAUUUGCAAUUUUAAAAGCAAUUGUCAAAAUUGAAUUACCAUUUGAAGAAAAGAAUUGAAAUUGUUUGAUGUACAUACUGCACCCUUUCCAAAACUGUGAAAUUCCCUACUUUUUUUUCAUUUUCAGAGUUUUUCAAUACAGACGCAUUUUGCCAGAAAACGAAUCUGACUUCAUACCACGAAAUUUUAACAGGAAAGAGACAGUUUGAUGAGAGGUCCCUCAUUGCUCAACGAAAACUAGGGCCGAAGCUAUGAACCCUAACGUUAACAUUACCACCUAUGGAAAAGGCAUUAGUGGACUAUACCCAUGUGUGCGAGUUGCAAGAAAAACUAGUAUGGGUAUUACUGCAGAAACUGCAGAAAGGAUACCUCGGUAUAGUUUUUCAGAUAUCUUCAAGAACGGGAAAUGGACUUCAUCUUGGACCACACUUGAUGCUGAUGCUUGAUGCUGAUCUACUACCUUUGGCGAAACAGCUACCCGACAUAUGUUUGAGUGCAAAGGCUCCAAAUACCAGGAAGAAAUAGGAAUAUGCCUAAAAUAACUUCCGUAAAUGGUGUAUCUCACAUAAUGUACCAUUUGCCCCAGCUUCAGAUUUCCAUGUAGCUUUGUACUUGACUCAUAUAAGAAAUCUAGGAAAAGCUUAAGGGUCAGUCAACAAAGCAUUUUAUGCUAUCAGCUGGGCUUAUAAAUUGGCGGGGAUGUUGGAUCCUUGUUCAUCUGAUCUUGCAAAAUCAGUUAGAGAGGGAUGUAGCAGAAUCAUUGGACGGAAAACGUGUCAUAAAAG